AUUGAACGCUAGCGGGAUGCUUUACACAUGCAAGUCGAACGGCAGCGCGGACUUCGGUCUGGCGGCGAGUGGCGAACGGGUGAGUAAUGUAUCGGAACGUGCCCAGUAGCGGGGGAUAACUACGCGAAAGCGUAGCUAAUACCGCAUACGCCCUACGGGGGAAAGCAGGGGAUCGUAAGACCUUGCACUAUUGGAGCGGCCGGUAUCGGAUUAGCUAGUUGGUGAGGUAACGGCUCACAAAGGCGACGAUCCGUAGCUGGUUUGAGAGGACGACCAGCCACACUGGGACUGAGACACGGCCCAGACUCCUACGGGAGGCAGCAGUGGGGAAUUUUGGACAAUGGGGGCAACCCUGAUCCAGCCAUCCCGCGUGUGCGAUGAAGGCCUUCGGGUUGUAAAGCACUUUUGGCAGGAAAGAAACGUCGCGGGCUAAUACCCCGUGGAACUGACGGUACCUGCAGAAUAAGCACCGGCUAACUACGUG
rnacentral:rRNA from 1 species